rnacentral:rRNA from 1 species
UACGUAGGGUGCGAGCGUUGUCCGGAAUUAUUGGGCGUAAAGGGCUCGUAGGCGGUUUGUCGCGUCGGGAGUGAAAACACACAGCUUAACUGUGUGCUUGCUUCCGAUACGGGCAGACUAGAGGUAUGCAGGGGAGAACGGAAUUCCUGGUGUAGCGGUGGAAUGCGCAGAUAUCAGGAGGAACACCGGUGGCGAAGGCGGGUCUCUGGGCAGUAACUGACGCUGAGGAGCGAAAGCGUGGGGAGCGAACAGG